rnacentral:rRNA from 1 species
UGGGGAAUAUUGGACAAUGGGGGGAACCCUGAUCCAGCCAUGCCGCGUGUGUGAAGAAGCCCUUAUGGUUGUAAAGAACUUUAAGCGAGGAGGAGGCUCUCUUGGUUAAUACCCAAGAUGAGUGGACGUUACUCGCAGAAUAAGCACCGGCUAACUCUGUGCCAGCAGCCGCGGUAAUACAGAGGGUGCGAGCGUUAAUCGGAUUUACUGGGCGUAAAGCGUGCGUAGGCGGCUUUUUACGUCGGAUGUGAAAUCCCCGAGCUUAACUUGGGAAUUGACUGCGAUACUGGGAAGCUAGAGCACGCGAGAGGAUGGUAGAAUUCCAGGUGUAGAGGUGAAAUGCGUAGAGAUCUGGAGGAAUACCGAUGGCGAAGGCAGCCAUCUGGCCCAAUCCUGACGCUGAGGUACGAAAGCAUGGGGGGCUGACAGG